GCUGUAACAAAAUGCACUUGUUAUUAUUUUGACAAGAAGAAGAAGAAUAAGAAAAGUCCACAUCCUUGCCGUCUUCUAACAACCCAAGUAAACAAAAAGUGAAAAGGAUUCCAGAGAAGAAUGACCAGGGAACCCAAAGCCACCCAACUCUUCAACUCCAUGGUGUUUGUAUCGGCUACAACAAAAAAAAACCUUGGAUGUGGUAACACUCAAGUGUUCAGAUGCAAAAAUCUAAUUCGUAGUUCAGUACAACAUUUAAAAGUGAGCAGUUAUUAUACAAUAGCAUCAAUCUCGUGCACAUUGACUGGACGUUACUGUGGGCCGUUGUCUAGACGUUCCCAUCAAAAACUUUCAGUGAGUUCUGAACUUUUUUAC
ensembl:lncRNA